UCUCAGUUUAUUUGUAACAGAUAUGAUUUUGUAUCAAGAUAUCCUGGCAAGACUAGAAGAAAAAAAACAAUCGAGGUAACAAUCGAAUCUCGCAUUAGAGUAGACUCUGCACAAUACGUCGCUGAGAAACAUGACUUCAAGAAGAGAUAUUUAUAGAACUGCCAAUGAGGAGGAAAUGAAAGAUCUUUGCCUCUGAGCUACACAAAGGACGAGAUAACUCUCUUAUUUAUAAGUCGUUUUGGUUGCCCACACUCGAUCACAAUUAAAAUCAACUUGAAGCACAAA